UGCCCUACACUUUCAUUUUUAUGAAGCUCAGCAAGAAGAUAUAAAUGCCAGCUCUGGCCUGACUUUCCUACUAUCUGAAGGCUUUGUGAUUCAGCAUGAAGUUUUCAAGUGGCUUCCUCUUCCUCCUGGUACUCAUCACCUUCAACAUGGACCAGCUAGAAGCUGGAGAGCUUUCUAGACGACGCGAGGAUUCUGAUUGUACAAUCUACUGUAAAAAUAACGAAGAUUGUAAAGAGAAUGAAAGCUGUCUCCGAACUGAUUGUGGAACUGCAUGCUUUGUUGAUUAGGAUCUCCCUAGAGAAGAACCUACUCAAGAAAAGUCCACUGGGAGUUGUUCUUAUCUUGCUGGAGUUCUUACCUUAGAAAACUGGAUAGAUUGGAGAAGCUUAAGGGGGAUGAGGGGGUGGGCAGGAGGUGAAAGAUUAAAAGGUAUAGUGAAGAGAAAGGGGAGCCAUGUCUUCUCAGAAGCCCUUCCCUUCUUAAUAAACUAUUAGCAUUGCAAGAA